rnacentral:rRNA from 1 species
AUUGAACGCUGGCGGCACGCCUAACACAUGCAAGUCGAGCGGUAACAUGGUUUGUAGCAAUACAAACUGAUGACGAGCGGCGGACGGGUGAGGAACACGUAGGAAUCUGCCCUCAAGCGGGGGAUAACCAAGGGAAACUUUGGCUAAUACCGCAUAAUCGCGAGAGAGAAAAGCUGCCCGCAAGGGUGGCACUUGAGGCGGAGCCUGCGUCCGAUUAGCUAGUUGGAGAGGUAAAAGCUCACCAGGGCAAUGAUCGGUAACUGGUCUGAGAGGACGGCCAGUCACACUGGGACUGAGACACGGCCCAGACUCCUACGGGAGGCAGCAGUGGGGAAUAUUGGACAAUGGGGGCAACCCUGAUCCAGCGAUGCCGCGUGAGUGAAGAAGGCCCUCGGGUCGUAAAGCUCUUUAGGUUGGGAAGAAGGGUAUAGGCUGAAUAAUCCUGUACUUUGACUGUACCGACAGAAUAAGCACCGGCUAACUCUGUGCCAGCCGCCGCGGUAA